GAUGAACGCUGGCGGCGUGCCUAAUACAUGCAAGUCGAGCGAACAGACGAGGAGCUUGCUCCUCUGACGUUAGCGGCGGACGGGUGAGUAACACGUGGAUAACCUACCUAUAAGACUGGGAUAACUUCGGGAAACCGGAGCUAAUACCGGAUAACAUGUUGAACCGCAUGGUUUAACAGUGAAAGACGGUCUUGCUGUCACUUAUAGAUGGAUCCGCGCCGCAUUAGCUAGUUGGUAAGGUAACGGCUUACCAAGGCAACGAUGCGUAGCCGACCUGAGAGGGUGAUCGGCCACAAUGGAACUGAGACACGGUCCAGACUCCUACGGGAGGCAGCAGUAGGGAAUCUUCCGCAAUGGGCGAAAGCCUGACGGAGCAACGCCGCGUGAGUGAAGAAGGUCUUCGGAUCGUAAAACUCUGUUAUUAGGGAAGAACAAAUGUGUAAGUAACUAUGCACGUCUUGACGGUACCUAAUCAGAAAGCCACGGCUAACUACGUG
rnacentral:rRNA from 1 species